UACGUAGGGUGCGAGCGUUAAUCGGAAUUACUGGGCGUAAAGCGUGCGCAGGCGGUUCGUUAAGUCAGAUGUGAAAGCCCCGGGCUCAACCUGGGAACUGCAUUUGAAACUGGCGGGCUUGAGUGUGGCAGAGGGGGGUGGAAUUCCGCGUGUAGCAGUGAAAUGCGUAGAGAUGCGGAGGAACACCGAUGGCGAAGGCAGCCCCCUGGGCCAACACUGACGCUCAGGCACGAAAGCUAGGGGAGCAAACGGG
rnacentral:rRNA from 1 species